rnacentral:lncRNA from 1 species
AUUAAGUGGUUAUAAGUAGUCUAAAAAACAAGAUCGGUUAUUUAGACAACUGAUCAGUUGGCCUGACGCACGCUUCAGAUACUCAAUGUCUAUAAAAAAGAAGGAAGAAAAAACAAAACUAAUUUUCUAGUGAACGGUAGAAUUUAUUGACAUACAGAUCAAAUUUAUUAAAUCUGAUUUAGUGUGAUUCAGUGUGGCCAGUGUCU